CACAGCCAUAUUGUAAGGCCUAGGUGGGACCGGAGUAGUGACAUAGUAAACAGCAGGAUAAGGCUGUUGUUGAUCCAGUUGACCCGGCUGCCUGUGAAAGGACUGCGGCUGCUGCGAAGGGUAAACCUGGAUGUAAGUCUGCAUAGGAAGGCCACCAGAGGGAUGGUGAUGAAUGUACUGAGGUGGUGCAGCCGCGUGUAUGAACUGCUGCUGCUGCUGUUGCUGUGGCUGAGAUGGUGCAGAUUGUUGCUCGAACUGCGGGUGGAGGAUGUAUCCAGGGUCCUGAUUCUGCAUAUGGUUCUGAGGUAAGAGUGUGUUUGGAUCUGAAGGGUUGAUCAUACCAGUAACUACAGUGGAACCAGAAGGCAUCUGAGACAUGGGAUCUUGAUAAAGAGAUGGUCUUUGCUGAUACACAGGGUUGUUCAUG
rnacentral:lncRNA from 1 species